UUGAGAAUUUUGGGAGGGAAAUACCCGGUGGGCGGAAAGGGCGGGCCCCCCCUGGAACAAAAGAACUGACCGCUUCAGGGUGCGAAAAGCGGUGGGGGAGGCAAAACAGGGAUUUAGAUACCCCUGGUAGUUCCACGACUGUAAACGAUGUCGAUUUUAGAGGGUUGUGGGUCUUUGAAACCGUGGGCUUCUGGAGGCUAACGCGGUUAAAAUUGGCCCGCCUGGGGAGGUACGGCCGCAAGGUUAAAACUCAAAUGAAUGGACGGGGGCCCGCACAAGCGGUGGAGCAUGUGGUUUAAUUCGAUGCAACGCGAAGAACCUUACCUACUCUUGACAUCCAGAGAAUCCUUUAGAGAUAGAGGAGUGCCUUUGGGAACUUUGAGACAGGUGCUGCAUGGCUGUCGUCAACUCGUGUUGUGAAAUGUUGGGUUAAGUCCCGCAACGAGCGCAACCCUUAUCCUUUGUUGCCAGCGCGUAAUGGUGGGAACUCAAAGGAGGCUGCCGGUGAUAAACCGGAGGAAGGUGGGGAUGACGUCAAGUUAUCAUGGCUCUUACGAGUAGGGCUACACACGUGCUACAAUGGCAGAUACAAAGAGAAGCGACCUCGCGAGAGCAAGCGGAACUCAUAAAAUCUGUUGUAGUUCGGAUUGGAGUUUGCAACUCGACUCCAUGAAGUCGGAAUCGCUAGUAAUCGUAGAUCAGAAUGGUACGGUGAAUACGUUCCCGGGCCUUGUACACACCGCCCGUCACCCCAUGGGAGUGGGUUGCAAAAGAAGUAGGUAGCUUAACCUUCGGGAGGGCGCUUACACACAUUGUGAUUCAUGAGUUGGGGGGAAGUUGUUAACAAGGGAAGGCAAAACCCC
rnacentral:rRNA from 1 species